CAAAAAAUUAUGUCCCCUGAAAUUUACAUAUUUCUAAAGAGGAGACAAACUUGAGUCUAUCAUUUCCUUUGGUCUCUUGACUUCUCUUGCUGAUUCUUUGCAGUUAAGAAAUUUGAAGGAAUUCAUAGUAAUACCAGAGAAUUCGUUUUUGAGCAGUACAAAUACUGAUGACCAGGUAUCUCCUCAGGUAACUCCUUUCAGCUGAGUGUUUAUCUCUGCUGUAGAUCCAUUUUGUGGAUCUUUAGAAGGCAAAUCCAUGCUUCUAAGAUUUUUUGCUUUUGUUUGUUUACUUAUUUUCUUUGAAGAAGUUUCCACAUAGGGUAAAAAGGAAAGGCUGGUAUCACUAAUUCACUGAGAAGACACCAUCCGUCAUUUAUCUAGGCAAUACGAAACUUCAUCUGGUCAUCAUGGGAAGAAGUCUUUCAGCUCUGCUGAUAAUGUUAGUUUUUAGUCAUAUAAUUAGUCUUUUUCAAAACUAAAAUUAAAGGAAAAAAAAAAAGAUAUACUAAGUGCUUCACAUUUUACUUUCAGAUAACCUGUAAUCAGAUUUCUGUUACCACUGGACAAUUUACUCUUUCUUUCUCUGGAUUUCCUCUUGCUGCUGAGGAGUUUUAAAAUGUUUUGUCACCCUAUGCAUCUUUCAAGGAACAUAAAAGGUUAAUAAUAAAACUUUAUCUCGUAGGGUUAUGUGAAAAUAUAUGUAUUUUAAAUAAAAAAUUCUCAAGGCGUAGUACUAAUAUUGUGCAAAUAUUUAGAAGUUAUUUUAUGCUUUUUGUGUUCUGUGUAACACUUCAAGUAAGACUUAAAGAUGGACAGUGAAUGUGGAAGAUAGAAAAAUCUGAACAAGAUGAAAGAAGACAGGAGCCUUGAAAAAAACCCAGUCUGUCACAUAUCAGAUGGCACGGAGGUUUCAGAUAUUCAACAGACCAGCUCCUGCACACUCUCUGUUUAAACCUUCCCAAGUUUAACAACAACUGAGGAUCCAUUUUGCUUGAUCAGGCUCUCAAGGUAAAUGGUAGGAUUUAUUUUCUACUAAUCUACAUUGUAUGCUUUUCUUAUCUCUAUUUGUCUGUGAUGAAUUUGGAAGUUAUUCUGAAGCUCAUUGUAAAAUUCACCUCAUUUUUAGGAGUAGGUUCAUAAUCAUAUAGUUUAGCUUACAUGAAAAUGACAAGUUCAAUGAAGUGCUUUGGCUAAUAUUUCCAGAUUUUUCUGCCUAAGUUAUUUCACCUGCAUUUAUGGACUCCACAUUUUUUCUAACACAGAAGGAAGGACCACCUGAUUUUCUGUUUAAGUUAAAACUUUUUUCUCUUGAAAUAAUAAACUGAGAAUAAUAUAAACA
rnacentral:lncRNA from 1 species